AUUGAACGCUGGCGGCAGGCCUAACACAUGCAAGUCGAACGAGUGGCGGACGGGUGAGUAAUGUCUGGGAAACUGCCCGAUGGAGGGGGAUAACUACUGGAAACGGUAGCUAAUACCGCAUACCAUCGGAUGUGCCCAGAUGGGAUUAGCUAGUAGGGGGGGUAACGGAUCACCUAGGCGACGAUCCUUAGCUGGUCUGAGAGGAUGACCAGCCACAAGGGAACGGAUACACGGUCCAGACUCCUACGGGAGGCAGCAGUGGGGAAUAUUGCACAAUGGGCGCAAGCCUGAUGCAGCCAUGCCGCGUGUAUGAAGAAGGACUUCGGGUUGUAAAGUACUUUCAGCGAGGAGGCGUUACUCGCAGAAGAAGCACCGGCUAACUCCGUGCCAGCAGCCGCGGUAAUUC
rnacentral:rRNA from 1 species